UUAAUGGAAGGAAACAUCAUGCCCUUUUGAUGGCGACAAGUGGGACCCUGGGUGUCUGACUGGGAACAGGUGUGGCUGUUUCUCGGCCCCAGAGGUAACUUUGAACAAGCUAGUGGAUUUUCCCUUGAAGGCUGGUAUUCUUGGAGAGCAGCGCCUGUCUCCCGACAGGGCUCUGGAGCCGGGAGCCGUGGCCCAGGGCUCUGUGCCGGGCAGUCUCAUGGACACUGGGUUCACCACCGCAAGGAAGCCGGGAGAGCAUCUUUCCAGGGAAACGAGGUCUGGAGACCGGCCCCCAGCGUGAGAUGAAGAAGCGGCCCCAAACUCCGGACUGAAGAGAGCUCAUGGGCGCUGGCAUUUCGAAGGUUUAUUGGUGCCCUUCUGUCUAAUUGAAUAUCAAGAUGAGAAACCGAGGCAGAGAGGGAAGAAAGGUUGAUGAAGGAGCCACCAGUGAGUCAUCGUCUCGGGCUACAACGUGAAGAUUUUUAGAAGAAAAGCCAGUGGGCUCCCAGUCAAAGUUAAAAAGGUA